rnacentral:rRNA from 1 species
GCUGGCGGCGUGCCUAAUACAUGCAAGUCGAGCGCAGGAAACAAGUAGAUCCCUUCGGGGUGACGCUUGUGGAAUGAGCGGCGGACGGGUGAGUAACACGUGGGCAACCUACCUUGUAGACUGGGAUAACUCCGGGAAACCGGAGCUAAUACGGGAUGAUCAUUUGAAUCGCAUGAUUGAAAUGUAAAAGUGGGGAGUAAUCCUCACACUAUGAGAUGGGCCCGCGGCGCAUUAGCUAGUUGGUAAGGUAAUGGCUUACCAAGGCAACGAUGCGUAGCCGACCUGAGAGGGUGAUCGGCCACACUGGAACUGAGACACGGUCCAGACUCCCUACGGGAGGCAGCAGUAGGGAAUCAUCCGCAAUGGGCGAAAGCCUGACGGUGCAACGCCGCGUGAACGAUGAAGGUUUUCGGAUCGUAAAGUUCUGUUAUGAGGGAAGAACAAGUACCGUUCGAAUAGGGCGGUACCUUGACGGUACCUAACCAGAAAGCCACGGCUAACUACGUG